rnacentral:rRNA from 1 species
CCCUUAGAUGUUCUGGGCCGCACGCGCGCUACACUGAUGCAUUCAACGAGUCUAAAACCUGGUCUGAGAGGGCUGGGUAAUCUUUUGAAAGUGCAUCGUGAUUGGGAUAGAUGAUUGCAAUUCUUCAUCUUCAACGAGGAAUGCCUAGUAAACGCAAGUCAUCAGCUUGCAUUGAUUACGUCCCUGCCCUUUGUACACACCGCCCGUCGCUCCUACCGAUUGAACGAUCCGAUGAAAACUGUGGAUUGAGAGUCUGAGUGGGUUCGCCUACCUCAACUUUCGAGAAGCGGUUUAAAUCUUAUCGUUUAGAGGAAGGAGAGGUCGUAACA